rnacentral:rRNA from 1 species
UCGAACGGUAGCACGAAGGAGCUUGCUCCUUGGGUGACGAGUGGCGGACGGGUGAGUAAUGCUUGGGAAUCUGGCUUAUGGAGGGGGAUAACUACGGGAAACUGUAGCUAAUACCGCGUAAUAUCUUCGGAUUAAAGUGUGGGACCGCAAGGCCACAUGCCAUGAGAUGAGCCCAAGUGGGAUUAGGUAGUUGGUGGGGUAAAGGCCUACCAAGCCGACGAUCUCUAGCUGGUCUGAGAGGAUGACCAGCCACACUGGAACUGAGACACGGUCCAGACUCCUACGGGAGGCAGCAGUGGGGAAUAUUGCACAAUGGGGGGAACCCUGAUGCAGCCAUGCCGCGUGAAUGAAGAAGGCCUUCGGGUUGUAAAGUUCUUUCGGUAGCGAGGAAGGURKYWRWUUUAAUAGAWYWRKYAAUUGACGUUAACUACAGAA